CAGCAUACAUAAAGUGUUUUGAGGAUAUAUUAGGCUACUCUGAACUGAACUGUUGCGACAAAUGCGUUUACAAGAGAUGAGAAGCUGAUUGGAGGUCGCUGUAGAUCGACGUUUAAAACCACCAAUCACAGCGCGAUGUUCCCUUGACGUAAGAACAUUUGAACUCGACAAACAGCGCAAAUAAAGCAACGUUGAACGUUUCUGUUGAAGAAAUCGGCGCAGAAUGUCCGUUGUCUAAAUUGGCGACACAUUGGCCCAAAACAACAGAACUCCUGGUCAACGGAACUCUUUCACAACUACUCCAAACGGACUGUUUCAAGAUGAUUAACUUACCGAUGACACAAUAAAGUCUCCAUUUACAACCAAGAAUGGCAGUGAAUGGCCGGCCGUCUAUCAAGGCGCAUCCAUCCAUGAUAAAAGUAAUCCACCACAUGACUCUGGCGGGGUUAUAAAGCCCUUUUAAAGCGAAGCAUUUGUGCUAUGAGGAAAAACUCUACCGUUCACACAGAGAACAGAGCUCAAUGCUGCUAACUGGGGGAGCAGCUGGACAACUAGAAGAGAGAACAGUAGAACACUAUUAAUACAGAUUCCUGGAUUAUUUUUCUGCAAGAACCAAAACAAGCAAAGACUGAUGAGUGCUCUGAGCAAACACCGGAGUCAAGACGCAUGAGUGACUUUACUGAGUUCUUCAUGUAAUGUUGGGCAUUUACUGUACGCAGAACUUUUAAU